AUAUAUUGUAGCUCAAAAUAUGGGUGAUAGAAAAUGAGAUAAGGGAUUGUGUUGAUGGAAAUGCAACGACAAUGGCAAGUGAGAAUGAGGACGAUGAGAAAUUUGUAAUUAAUCUAAACAAAGAUGUUAUUAAACGAGUAAGUUUUACAAUAUUCAUCGUGACUAUCUAUAUUAGCAUUGAAUCUUUGUAUUAUGAUGUUAUUAAUCACGUUCGUAUAUAUCAUUAGGUUGAUGGUGGGAACUUAAUGGAGAUAGAUAAAACCUUCCAACAAUUAAAGACACAUUUAAUUGAUAUGGCUUAUGGUGCAAGUAGUAGUAGUUGUGAUCAAAUUUUGGCUAAAUUUGAGGAGAAUUAUACUAUAGUGAAAGGUCUCUUCCUUAGGUUAAGCGAAAAACCUUUGAGAAUGCACGAGGAAGGAACGAAAAAUGACAUUCUCUCAUGCGAGAGAAGUUUGGAAGAUACGAACAAUAUAAAUGUGAAUGAACAUUAUCUUCACACUUUGUCAAAUGAGAAGUUAUCCACCGAGGACUUGAAUGAAAAGAAUAAAGAUGCAUGUGCUACAUCAAUUGAAGUGCAUAUCAUUCCAAACGAAAAUCAAAAUAUUUUACCACUUCCAAUCAAAAGGAGUAGAAGAGAUUAUGGAAAGGUAUGUAUCAUAUAAAAGAAAAAAUUAUUUUCUUUACAACUACUUAACCAUUACAUAGUAAAUAGAUGUAUAUUAAUGACAUUUUCCAUAUUAGGAACCAUUACGAGCAUUAUGUGGUUAUCCUAAUCAUGUCAUGAAAACACGUACAUCAAAGGAGAGGAAACCAAGUAAAUUCAAGGUCUCCCUGUUUGUACACAAUUUAAGGAAGAUGGUAAAAUGUGAAGUUUCAGAUGUAUAAUACAAAUAGUUUAAUAUCAUUGUUCUUAUUUUUUAUACUUAACAUAUAUAGUUAAUAAUUAUGUCUUGUUUUCGAUUUAGUCAAUCCUCAUGUCUACUCGUGAAGACGUGGUGGAUACUCAAUCAUUCAAUGUACUUCAAUCUCUUGUCGUUGAUUAUGUUUUCAAUAAAGCAUUGUCAAAAAGGUUUGUCGUGUCUAGAACAUUCAUAGAUGUGUUGUUACAAUUUUAGCCUUCAUAUGCUUCCAAUUUAGUCAAGUUUGUUUGAACAUAUUAUUAUUUUAGUGAGCUUCUUGUUGACUUUGGUCAUGAACAUGGAGUUCGUGGAGAUUUUGAGUGCUUACGUCCUAGACAAAAUUUGAUGGAUGUUGUAAGUGCCUACUUCAUUUAUAUCAAAUGCGUGCUAUAUUAGUUAAAUAAAUUUAUUGAAGUUAUUGUUCAAUAACAGGUAAUAAAUCUAGAAGCCUCAAAACUAAAUUAUUUUGAAAGACAAUUCAUAGGCAUACGAAGUAUAAGAUGCUAUCUUCCCACGCCAUUUUCACAAAUGAUUUUGUGCGGGAGUCUUCAUCCUUUUUUUGAUAGAAAAACAUCCAUCGUGAGUAAGUACAUUAGCGAAUUGGAUGAUUGCGAGAAGCUAUUUAUUCCAAUGCAUGACGAUUGCCCUAAUCAUUGGUAUCUAUGCGUCAUUGACUUCAAACACUUUGAUAUCCAAAUUUUGGAUUCAUUACGAUCGAAGAGUCGGGAUGAGUUCCGGUUUAAGAGUGUCAAAAUAGUGGUUGAAUUUUGUCAAACGUUCUUCAAACUGUAUGACAUAGGGAAAGAUGUCUUCCAAUUCUCCAUUGAUUGGGCUCCUUCGAUUCCGACCCAAGAUAAUGGGUGGGACUGUGGAGUGCAUGUCAUUAGACAUAUGCAAAGAUUCAAAAAUGGUGAUUCGAUGACGAGCUCAGACUUUUGUAAUUCUGUUAAAAUAUGUCGAGAAAUAACAUGUGAUUUAGUUAUACACGAGGGAAAUAGAGAAAAACAAACCAUUGUGGCUAUUGUUUGUACAAAGACGUCGACACGAGCAAUGAAAAAAUUAUUAUUAUGAUA